rnacentral:rRNA from 1 species
AACGAACGCUGGCGGCAGGCUUAACACAUGCAAGUCGAGCGCCCCGCAAGGGGAGCGGCAGACGGGUGAGUAACGCGUGGGAAUCUACCCAUCUCUACGGAAUAACGCAUGGAAACGUGUGCUAAUACCGUAUACGUCCUUCGGGAGAAAGAUUUAUCGGAGAUGGAUGAGCCCGCGUGGGAUUAGCUAGUUGGUGGGGUAAAGGCCUACCAAGGCGACGAUCCAUAGCUGGGCUGAGAGGAUGAUCAGCCACACUGGGACUGAGACACGGCCCAGACUCGUGCGGGAGGCAGCAGUGGGGAAUAUUGGACAAUGGGCGCAAGGCUGAUCCAGCCAUGCCGCGUGAGUGAUGAAGGCCCUAGGGUUGUAAAGCUCUUUCACCGGUGAAGAUAAUGACGGUAACCGGAGAAGAAGCCCCGGCUAACUUCGUGCCAGCCGCCGCCGUAAAAC